rnacentral:rRNA from 1 species
AUAUCAAUAAGCGGAGGAAAAGAAACCAACAGGGAUUGCCUCAGUAACGGCGAGUGAAGCGGCAACAGCUCAAAUUUGAAAUCUGGCGUCUUCGGCGCCCGAGUUGUAAUUUGCAGAGGAUGCUUCGGCGUAGGCGCCGCCCAAAGUUCCUUGGAACGGGACGUCGCAGAGGGUGAGAGCCCCGUGUUCGGGCGGAUGCCGUCGCCAUGUGAAGCUCCUUCGACGAGUCGAGUUGUUUGGGAAUGCAGCUCAAAACGGGAGGUAAAUUUCUUCCAAAGCUAAAUACCGGCCGGAGACCGAUAGUGCACAAGUAGAGUGAUCGAAAGAUGAAAAGCACUUUGGAAAGAGAGUCAAACAGCGCGUGAAAUUGUUAAAAGGGAAGCGCUUGCGGUCAGAACUUGGCCGCCGUUGCUCGGGGAGGUCUCGCGCCUCCCUCGCUCUUCGGCGGCUGGGCCAGCAUCGGUUCGGGCGGCUCGAGAAAGGUCGUGGGAACGUAGCUCCCUCCGGGGAGUGUUAUAGCCCGCGGCGCAAUAGGGCCCGCCUGGACCGAGGUCUGCGCAUCUGCUCGGAUGCUGGCGUAAUGGCCCCAAGCGGCCCGUCUUGAAACACGGACCAAGGAGUCUAACAUUCGUGCGAGUGUUCGGGCGUUAAACCCGUGCGCGCAAUGAAAGUGAACGUAGGUGGGAGCCCCUUGUGGGUGCACCAUCGACCGAUCCAAAUGUUUUCGGAUGGAUUUGAGUAUGAGCACGUAUGUUGGGACCCGAAAGAUGGUGAACUAUGCCUAAACAGGGCGAAGCCAGAGGAAACUCUGGUGGAGGCUCGCAGCGGUUCUGACGUGCAAAUCGAUCGUCAAAUUCGGGCAUAGGGGCGAAAGACUAAUCGAGCCAU